rnacentral:rRNA from 1 species
CUCGAGCUAAUACCGUAUGAAUCGAGAGAUCAAAGAUUUAUCGCCUGAAGAUGAGCCCGCGUUGGAUUAGCUAGUUGGUAGGGUAAAGGCUUACCAAGGCGACGAUCCAUAGCUGGUCUGAGAGGAUGAUCAGCCACACUGGGACUGAGACACGGCCCAGACUCCUACGGGAGGCAGCAGUGGGGAAUAUUGGACAAUGGGGGAAACCCUGAUCCAGCAAUGCCGCGUGAGUGAAGAAGGCCUUAGGGUUGUAAAGCUCUUUUACCCGGGAUGAUAAUGACAGUACCGGGAGAAUAAGCUCCGGCUAACUCCGUGCCAGCAGCCGCGGUAAUACGGAGGGAGCUAGCGUUGUUCGGAAUUACUGGGCGUAAAGCGUACGUAGGCGGUUUAAUAAGUCAGGGGUGAAAGCCCAGAGCUCAACUCUGGAACUGCCUUUGAGACUGUUAGACUAGAACAUAGAAGAGGUAAGUGGAAUUCCGAGUGUAGAGGUGAAAUUCGUAGAUAUUCGGAAGAACACCAGUGGCGAAGGCGACUUACUGGUCUAUAGUUGACGCUGAGGUACGAAAGCGUGGGUAGCAAACAGGAUUAGAUACCCUGGUAGUCCACGCCGUAAACGAUGAUAACUAGCUGUCCGGGUACAUGGUAUCUGGGUGGCGGAGCUAACGCAUUAAGUUAUCCGCCUGGGGAGUACGGUCGCAAGAUUAAAACUCAAAGAAAUUGACGGGGGGCCUGCACAAGCGGUGGAGCAUGUGGUUUAAUUCGAAGCAACGCGCAGAACCUUACCAGCGUUUGACAUCCUGAUCGCGGAAAGUGGAGACACAUUCUUUCAGUUCGGCUGGAUCAGAGACAGGUGCUGCAUGGCUGUGUCAGCUCGUGUCGUGAGAUGUUGGGUUAAGUCCCGCAACGAGCGCAACCCUCACCUCUAGUUGCCAUCAUUAAGUUGGGCACUUUAGAGGAACUGCCGGUGAUAAGCCGGAGGAAGGUGGGGAUGACGUCAAGUCCUCAUGGCCCUUACGCGUGGGCUACACACGUGUACAAUGGCGGUGACAGAGGGCCGCAAGCCUGCAAAGUAGUAAUCUCAAAAAGCCGUUCAGUUCGGAUUGUUCUCUGCAACUCGAGAGCAUGAAGCGGAAUCGCUAGUAAUCGCGGAUCACAUGCCGCGUGAUACGUUCCCAGGCCUUGUACACACCGCCCGUCACACCAUGGGAGUUGGAUU